AAGGGAGACCUAAUUCAGGUAGGAGACGAAAAAAAAGUAGUCGCUACCAAGAAUCAAUCCCAAAAGGUCGGAGCGAGGCGAAAUUGGCUUUCAAACUAGGUUCUGGGUUCACACAAGACCUGAAUCAGGAACAAGGGCUAUUAGCUCAGGUGGUUAGAGCGCACCCCUGAUAAGGGUGAGGUCCCUGGUUCGAGUCCAGGAUGGCCCACCUGUACAGGUGGCAAAAAGAAAGAAAAGAAGCGAGGAAUCAGCACCUUAUCUUACUGACAUAGUAAGAGAGAAUGCUGGCUCUGAGUAAAGAGUCCAGAGGAACCUUGAAAACUGCAUAGAGCUAGGUGGAAAAGCCAAAAAAGAAGACCGCAA
rnacentral:tRNA from 1 species